UACGGGGGGGCAAGCGUUGUUCGGAAUUACUGGGCGUAAAGGGCUCGUAGGCGGCCAACUAAGUCAGACGUGAAAUCCCUCGGCUUAACCGGGGAACUGCAUCUGAUACUGGAUGGCUUGAGUUCGGGAGAGGGAUGUGGAAUUCCAGGUGUAGCGGUGAAAUGCGUAGAUAUCUGGAGGAACACCGGUGGCGAAGGCGGCAUCCUGGACCGACACUGACGCUGAUGAGCGAAAGCCAGGGGAGCAAACGGGG
rnacentral:rRNA from 1 species